rnacentral:misc_RNA from 1 species
UAUCCGUAGGUGAACCUGCGGAAGGAUCAUUAUUGUAUACCCGACGAGAGAGGGCUGCUGUUGACCCGAAAUGUUGUGCACGCCCGAGCGCCCGCCCACGCAACCAUCUCACCCCUAUGUGCAACACCCCGGGGGUCCCCCUUUGGCUUGUUCGCUGGGGGCCUUACGCUUACACACUAACUCUGCAUACACCGUAGAAUGUCUUUUUUGAUUUUGCGAUCCCGCAGUCAAUACACCUUUCAACAACGGACCUCUUGCAUCCCGCAUCGUGGAAGAACC